UGGGUAACCUGCCUCAAAGAGGGGAAUAGCCUCCCGAAAGGGAGAUUAAUACCGCAUAAUAUGUUUUAAUCGCAUGAUUUUAACAUCAAAGGAUUUUCUUAGGAAAUUCCACUUUGAGAUGGACCCGCGGCGCAUUAGCUAGUUGGUGAGGUAACGGCUCACCAAGGCAACGAUGCGUAGCCGACCUGAGAGGGUGAUCGGCCACAUUGGAACUGAGACACGGUCCAGACUCCGUAGG
rnacentral:rRNA from 1 species